AGAGUUUGAUCAUGGCUCAGAGCGAACGCUGGCGGCGUACUUAACACAUGCAAGUCGAACGGGGAUCAUUGUGUGAGCAAUCAUGUGAUGGUCCUAGUGGCGCACGGGUGAGUAACACGUGGGUAACCUGCCCUUGAGACUGGGAUACCCCCUCGAAAGGGGGGCUAAUACCGGAUACGUUCCCUGGAUCGAAAGGUCUGAGGAAGAAAGGUGGCGCAAGCUGCCGCUCUUGGAGGGGCUCGCGGCCUAUCAGCUAGUUGGCGGGGUAACGGCCCACCAAGGCUAUGACGGGUAGCUGGUCUGAGAGGACGACCAGCCACACGGGGACUGAGACACGGCCCCGACUCCUACGGGAGGCAGCAGUGGGGAAUUUUCCGCAAUGGGCGAAAGCCUGACGGAGUGACGCCGCGUGUGGGAUGAAGGCCUUCGGGUCGUAAACCACUGUCAGUGGGAAAGAUGGGUGUCGGCGUGAUAACCGCCGGCAUCUGACGGUACCUGCAGAGGAAGCCCCGGCUAACUCUGUGCCAGCAGCCGCGGUAAGACAGAGGGGGCAAGCGUUGCUCGGAAUUACUGGGCGUAAAAGGGCGCGUAGGCGGGAUGGCAAGUCGGUCGUGAAAUCCCUCGGCUCAACUGAGGAGUGUCGAUCGAAACUGCCGUUCUUGAGGGUUGCGAGGAGACUGGAAUUCCCGGUGUAGCGGUGAAAUGUGUAGAGAUCGGGAGGAACACCGGUGGCGAAGGCGGGUCUCUGGGCAACUCCUGACGCUGAGGCGCGAAAGCGUGGGGAGCAAACGGGAUUAGAUACCCCAGUAGUCC
rnacentral:rRNA from 1 species